UCUUCGAAAAACAGAAAGAGAGUUCUACUUAGUGAGGGUUAUAAUACCUAAACGCUGCCGAAGGCCGUCUACACAGAAAGGCGUUAUCUGCAAAAGUUGUUCAGCCCCUCCUCUUCGCAAAACAGAAAGAGAAUUCUACUUAGUGAGGGUUAUAGUCCCUGAAUGCGGCCGAAGGCAGCCUACGCAGAAAGGUGUUCUCUGCAAAAGGUGUUCAGCCCCUUUUCUUCGCAAAACAGAAAGAUAAUGCUACUUAGUGAGGGUUAUAAUCCCUAAAUGCGGCGGAAGGCCGCCUUCGCAGAAAGGCUUUCUCUGCAAAAUGUGUUCAGCCUCUUUUCUUCGCAAAACAAAGAGAGUUCUACUUUGUAAGGGUUAUAAUCCCUAAGUGCGGCCGAAGGCCGCCUACGCAGAAAGCUGUUCUCUGCAAAAGGUAUUCAGCUCAUUUUCUUCGCAAA